rnacentral:tRNA from 2 species
GUCCAGGUAGCUCAGGGGUAGAGCAAUUGGCUGAAAAUCAAUGUGUCAGUGGUUCAAAUCCACUUCUGGACA